GAUGAACGCUAGCGGGAGGCCUAACACAUGCAAGCCGAGCGGGAUUUGUUGGUUAGCUUGCUAACUAACAAUGAGAGCGGCGUACGGGUGCGUAGCACGUGUGCAACCUGCCUUUAUCUGGGGGAUAGCCUUUCGAAAGGAAGAUUAAUACCCCAUAACAUAUUGAUUGGCAUCAGUUAAUAUUGAAAGCUCCGGCGGAUAGAGAUGGGCACGCGUAAGAUUAGCUAGUUGGUGAGGUAACGGCUCACCAAGGCUGCGAUCUUUAGGGGGACUGAGAGGGUGAUCCCCCACACUGGUACUGAGACACGGGCCAGACUCGUACGGGAGGCAGCAGGGAGGAAGAUCGGACAAUGGGUGAGAGCCUGAUCCAGCCAUCCCGCGUGAAGGACUAAGGACCUAUGGUGUGUAAACUUCUUUUAUACAGGGAUAAACCUACUCUCGUGAGGGUAGCUGAAGGUACUGUAUGAAUAAGCACCGGCUAACUCCGUGC
rnacentral:rRNA from 1 species